GACUUCUGAUUGAAUUAUUUUCCCCCCUGAUUU
rnacentral:rRNA from 1 species